rnacentral:tRNA from 1 species
GCCUGGGUGGCUCAGUGGGUGGAGCAUGUGACUAUUGAUCUCGGGGUCGUGAGUUCAAGCCCCACGCUGGGUG